GGAGUUAGCCGGUGCUUCUUCUGUGAGUGAUGUCCUUCCUGCCGGCUAUUAACCCGCAGGCCUUCUUCCUCACUGAAAGUGCUUUACAACCCGAAGGCCUUCUUCACACACGCGGCAUGGCUGGAUCAGGGUUGCCCCCAUUGUCCAAUAUUCCCCACUGCUGCCUCCCGUAGGAGUCUGGGCCGUGUCUCAGUCCCAGUGUGGCUGAUCAUCCUCUCAGACCAGCUACGGAUCGUCGCCUUGGUGAGCCGUUACCUCACCAACCAGCUAAUCCGACAUAGGCUCAUCCGAUAGCGCGAGGCCCGAAGGUCCCCCGCUUUCCCCCGUAGGGCGUAUGCGGUAUUAGCCUGGGUUUCCCCAGGUUAUCCCCCACUACCGGGCAGAUUCCUAUGCAUUACUCACCCGUCCGCCGCUCGCCACCAGGGAGCAAGCUCCCCGUGCUGCCGCUCGACUUGCNUGUGUAGCUGCCGCCACGCGUCAUCUGAGCCACUAAUACAACUACUCGA
rnacentral:rRNA from 1 species